rnacentral:rRNA from 1 species
GACGAACGCUGGCGGCGUGCUUAACACAUGCAAGUCGUACGGUAAGGCCCUUUCGGGGGUCCACGAGUGGCGAACGGGUGAGUAACACGUGAGUAACCUGCCCACAACUUUGGGAUAACGCUAGGAAACUGGUGCUAAUACUGGAUAUGUGCUGCUGCUGCAUGGUGGGGGUUGGAAAGCUCCGGCGGUUGUGGAUGGACUCGCGGCCUAUCAGCUUGUUGGUGGGGUAGUGGCCUACCAAGGCGGCGACGGGUAGCCGGCCUGAGAGGGUGACCGGCCACAUUGGGACUGAGAUACGGCCCAGACUCCUACGGGAGGCAGCAGUGGGGAAUAUUGCACAAUGGGCGCAAGCCUGAUGCAGCAACGCCGCGUGCGGGAUGACGGCCUUCGGGUUGUAAACCGCUUUCAGCAGGGACGAAGCUUUUUGUGACGGUACCUGCAGAAGAAGCACCGGCUAACUACGUG